rnacentral:rRNA from 1 species
UACGGAAGGGGCGAGCGUUGUUCGGAAUUAUUGGGCGUAAAGGGCGUGUAGGCGGCUUCGCAGGUCUGUGGUGAAAGGAUACAGCUCAACUGUAUUGAGCCGCGGAAACGGCGGAGCUUGAGGCUGGGAGGGGCUGGUGGAAUUCCCUGUGUAGCGGUGAAAUGCGUAGAGAUGGGGGAGAACACUCGUGGCGAAGGCGGCCAGCUAGACCAGUUCUGACGCUGAGACGCGAAAGCGUGGGGAGAAAACAGG